UCGGGCGGGGAGACAGUGUCAGGUGGGCAGUUUGACUGGGGCGGUCGCCU
rnacentral:rRNA from 1 species